GUCCAAAGGUGCCGAACGUGUUUCACGAAAAUAUCAAGUUCAGAGGGGUACGGUUUGCUGAAUGGCCACACUGGACAUAUGUAUCGAGCUGUAGGUUUUAAAAAAGAAUUUCUAGAAGCAAUACCUUAAUGCUGUGUUUGCAAUUUAUUAAAACUACAAAGUGAAUUAUUAAAGUCAUGGACGAUGGAGCAAAGGAGAUUCUAGAUUCAUGAGAUAGUUUUCUCAUGACAAAUGAAUAAUCAAAUUGACAUAUAUACAAAGUUAAUCUGAUACGAAAGAAGUGAAACUAAAGGUAUUAUAACAAGCUCCUCCGAAAUUUAAUAGGUCAUUGUCACAAGAAGAUUAAGGUGUGAAGUCUCUUUAUACAUUGUAUUAAUUGAAGCAAUACUAAAGACAACAAGUGACCUGAAGAAAUAUCAGUAUCUGUAUACUAGAUAUGGGA